rnacentral:miRNA from 1 species
UGGCGCUUAGUAGAAUGUC